rnacentral:rRNA from 1 species
GACGAACGCUGGCGGCGUGCUUAACACAUGCAAGUCGAACGAAGAGCGAUGGAAGCUUGCUUCUAUCAAUCUUAGUGGCGAACGGGUGAGUAACGCGUAAUCAACCUGCCCUUCAGAGGGGGACAACAGUUGGAAACGACUGCUAAUACCGCAUACGAUCUAAUCUCGGCAUCGAGGAUAGAUGAAAGGUGGCCUCUACAUGUAAGCUAUCACUGAAGGAGGGGAUUGCGUCUGAUUAGCUAGUUGGAGGGGUAACGGCCCACCAAGGCGAUGAUCAGUAGCCGGUCUGAGAGGAUGAACGGCCACAUUGGGACUGAGACACGGCCCAGACUCCUACGGGAGGCAGCAGUGGGGAAUCUUCCGCAAUGGACGAAAGUCUGACGGAGCAACGCCGCGUGAGUGAUGACGGCCUUCGGGUUGUAAAGCUCUGUUAAUCGGGACGAAAGGCCUUCUUGCGAAUAGGGAGUAGGAUUGACGGUACCGGAAUAGAAAGCCACGGCUAACUACGUG